UGAGGGUAUCAGAUGAUCGCCUCAUCUAAAAAGUGGGGAGGAAAGUCCGAACACCCCAUCAUUUGUAAAAAUGAUGGAAGCAGGGAGUCGCUAACCGCGACCGGGGAAUAAACGUUAAGAGAAACAUUUCUACUAACGGGAAGCCUAGGGAAAGUGCCACAGAGACAAUACUCGUUUUGCUAAGCAAAACAAAAGGUGAAAAGAAAAGUGGUGUUUGUUUUACAAGCUACAUUUUUCGCUCCAUGGUGACGUGGAAGCGUGGUAAACCCUCUCUGGUGCAAGAGCAAAUUUGGUCGCUCGCUUGAGACAUUUGGUAACAAAUAUCCUAGAGAAAUGAUCAUCGCUAUUUAUUUGAGUGUUUCGUUUGAAUAAAUAGAACAGAAUUCGGCUUAUCGAUAGCCUCGUCAA
rnacentral:RNase_P_RNA from 1 species